AACGAACGCUGGCGGCGUGCCUAACACAUGCAAGUCGAGCGAAGGAAAAGGGGGUAACUCCCUGAGUACAGCGGCGCACGGGUGAGUAACACGUAGGUAAUCUACCCUCGAGCCCGGAAUAACCUACCGAAAGGUGGGCUAAUACCGGAUAUGACCACGGGAGCUUCGGCUUCUGCGGUAGAAAGGUGGCCUCUGCUUGCAAGCUACUACUUGAGGAUGAGCCUGCGU
rnacentral:rRNA from 1 species